CCUACGGGAGGCAGCAGUGGGGAAUAUUGCACAAUGGGGGAAACCCUGAUGCAGCGACGCCGCGUGAGUGAAGAAGUAUUUCGGUAUGUAAAGCUCUAUCAGCAGGGAAGAAAAUGACGGUACCUGACUAAGAAGCCCCGGCUAACUACGUGCCAGCAGCCGCGGUAAUACGUAGGGGGCAAGCGUUAUCCGGAUUUACUGGGUGUAAAGGGAGCGUAGGUGGUGUGGUAAGUCAGGUGUGAAAGCCCGGGGCUCAACUCCGGGAUUGCACUUGAAACUAUCAUACUAGAGUGCAGGAGAGGUAAGUGGAAUUCCUAGUGUAGCGGUGAAAUGCGUAGAUAUUAGGAGGAACACCAGUGGCGAAGGCGGCUUACUGGACUGUAACUGACACUGAGGCUCGAAAGCGUGGGGAGCAAACAGGAUUAGAUACCCGUGUAGUC
rnacentral:rRNA from 1 species